CGAUGGGGUAGAGGCGCAGGAUUCAAGAGUAAGCUAUGUGAGGAUGACAACAGAGAGCAUGGCCGAAAGGGGAAACUGCCGAAGCAAGUUGAUUAGUCAAAAAUGAAUUUGCUGGGGUUGUUUUAAAUAAAAGCAACACUGUCAUUAUAAGAGGUUCUUAUAAUGAGGAGCUACAGGUCGU
rnacentral:ncRNA from 2 species